UGAGGUAUUUUUACAUAUUUCUCGAGAACAGCUCAUCCAAAGAACACACUCGCCUUUGCACUUCCUUGGGUCCCCAGCAAUACAUCUGCCAGGCUAACCAGCUACCAGGCUAAUAAGCACUGAGUCUACUGUCUACAGGCUAAUAAGGUAACAGGUUAACAAAUGCUAUCUGAGUCUGGAACAUGAACGAAUCUGGUGAGCUCUGAGCAGUGUUCAGUAAUCUUUGGCAGACAGACAGCAGAUCAGUAUGUGCAGGAUGUCUCUCUCUCUCUCUCAUGUCUGGGUUCUAAUUGCAGGAGUGGAGACAGGUGUGCGGGAGUCGGGCGAACAGCUGCCAUUCAUCAGGAGGUCUGCUUAAAUACUGGGUGCAACCUCCUACUCACUGCCAGAUCGUAGACUCUGUUCAUACAAAGACCUCAGCCUGACCCCGGCCCUGUCUCCAGUCCUCCUGCCUUGCCAGCUCAGCCCAUCCCUCUGCCUGGCUCCCCGCUCCAUUCCCUCUGUCCAGCCUAUCCCUCUACCUGGCUCCCCGCUCCAUCCCUUAUACCCAGCCUCACGCCCAGCCCAAGCCCCAGGUUCCCCAGCCACUGGUCCAGACCUUGGCCCUAGCCUCCCAGUUUUACCGCCUUGCAAAUAAAUC